rnacentral:lncRNA from 1 species
UGAAUAAUGACCAAAUUAGAAGAAAAUUGAUCCUACUUGGGUGGACUAAUGUUGAGGCUUGUACCCUUUAACAAGCCACUUCAAAGCAAUGUUUUUACAUUACAUAGAACUACAGAAAGUUCUAACCCUAGCAUACAGUGUAAGAAAAUCUUCUCAAUUUUCUUUUCAAUGGUAUAUUUGCACAUCCUUGGUUAGAUAGAUAGAUCACUUUCAUAGCUAUUUUUCAGUCUUCAUCUUAUUUUCUCCAUUUUCAGGAACAUUAUUAUGACCGGGGACUGGUGAAGCCGAAGCUGCUGCGGCCGUAGGUGGAACAAUCGAUUUGGCAACACCAUUGCUAGUGGCACCCUGCUGAUGCAAACUCUCGGUAGUCAUAUUUCCAGUGCCGUUAUUGAUUGGAUCCUUCUGGCUCUCCAAUUCACUUCUAGCUAACGACGAACACUUUGUUUCUGAAAUUGGAAAAAGAGAGUUUAGGUCAUGCAAAAUUCAUGCUUUUCUAAUAGCAUACUACAUUUUGAUGUUUAUGCAGAACUCUUGAUGGGCAUAGUAACAAAGGCAAAAUACACUAAUUGAAGAUACUUCAAAUGAUAUGAAAGGAUCAUAUGAAUGUUUUAGAAAGUAAGUUAUAACUGAAAAUGAGGACAAAAUAGUAACUUGCCAUUUAUUUCUCCCAUGGUGAUAACUCUGUUGAGGAAAUCUCUAAACUUUGUUAAGACAAUCCUUUCUUGCUCGGCGUAGACCUCUGUCAUUCCUUGUCCGUAAGGAAAUUCCGAGGAUGUGUUGCAGCCAUGAGCCAUUGUGCCAACUGGAGAGGCAGCUGUCAUGAACGUAUCUUGCUCGUCACACAUCAAAGCUAAAGUCCCAG